rnacentral:rRNA from 1 species
UACGUAUGGGGCGAGCGUUAUCCGGAUUCAUUGGGCGUAAAGCGCGCGUAGGCGGCCGCCUAAGCGGAACCUCUAACCCCGGGGCUCAACCUCGGGCCGGGUUCCGGACUGGGCGGCUCGAGUGCGGUAGAGGAGAGCGGAAUUCCCGGUGUAGCGGUGGAAUGCGCAGAUAUCGGGAAGAACACCGAUGGCGAAGGCAGCUCUCUGGGCCGUCACUGACGCUGAGGCGCGAAAGCUGGGGGAGCGAACAGG